UACUAUAUUCCGAAAUUAUAAUCUCAGGCAAUAGAGUGACCAUACACAUAAUGGUGGCAGAACAUAACACACCAACUAAGACUGCAAGCACAACUAAUUACAUGAUACGGGGCUAGAACAUAUAACCACAACUAGAGCAGGUUCGCGGCUAUCAUGUCUCAAGAAUUCAUAUGGAUGAUCAAAUGACAUCCUUUCCAAUAACAGCUCUGCCACACAAUCUAAUCAUCAUAAGCUGAAAUGUAGCUUCACAUUCCUGCAGAAAAUUCAGGGCAUUCAGACAUAUCAGAAGAAUUCACCCAAGAAGCGAACAAAAAGAAAAUUUUGAAUGGCUGUAGGUUAACUGAACUGUUUGGUUUAAACAUGUCUGUAUAAGCAGUUAAGCACAUUGUUGAUCAAAACUUGCAGGACACAUUCAGCAUAUUGUAACUGUGUAUCACCUUAUCAAGCACCUUGUUCAGUAGGGUUCAAGAACGCCAGCGGCCAUGCUAUCGUGUAAGGAUAUAUCAGCGGAGACGGGCAAUCCUCGACCAUAGACAGCCUCGUCAUCUUCAUGGUCUCAAGAUGAAUGGAGAACAAACAACUGCAGCUGCGCAAGAACACAACACCAGCAGCUACCCCGAUGACAUCGCCCUGUGGAGUAUGGUGAAAAGGAUCCGAACCAAUCAUCGCUUGCAUCGCCGUGCGGAAUCUCACCGACUUUUCCAACAGCGUCCAUGUCAGCCCACCGGCGCCGUCGUCCUCGCCGACCCAAACCUCGAUGCAAAAUCCACGCAUAGUGAGCACCCAGAGCUUACCGGCGCCAUCCUCCCCCUUCUCAAUGACGUCGAAGCUCUGCUCCCGCAAGAAAGGCGGGAGCGCCAGCACGGUGAGCUCCAUCGUCGCGGUGUUGAGCGCCACCAUGUGCCGCCCACCCAUUAGCUUCCAGUACAGCGACCGUUUGGCUUGCAUCGCGCGGGAUCCAGCGAGAUUGGGCUGCUGCGCGAGGCCACCCAAGUCGUCCCACCGGAGCUCAGCGGAGGAGAGGAGAAAGGCGCGCAGCUCUGUGGUUCCAGCACGUCGGGAAAUGCAUACCGCCUUGAAGGCCGAAGAGUCGCCGUCGUCGGGGACGAGGGCGUACCCUACGCGGCGCCCACCGGGGAGCGCGGGGAGUGAAACCCAGCGCCGGGUUAACGGGUCGGCGACGGCGAGUUCUCCGGAAGCCCCGUCACGCAACAGGAGGCUGCCGUUGCGGCAGUCCAGGAGCCGACACGGGAUGCCGGCGCCAUCCGGCCGGCCGCGGCGGGGGAGGAAGGAGAGGGCGAAGUCUCCUCCCUCGAUGGUGCGGUGCGUGGCGCGGAGGAGGUCGGCGGGCAGAAGGUAAGGGGCGCUGGCCCCGCGGCGCUUGCUGGGGCGGUAGAGGAGGCAUCCGAGGAUGACCGGGCAGGUCGAGGGGUGGCGGCGGCGGAAGCGGCGGAGGAAGGCUGCGCUGCGGGCGACCCGGAGGAAAGGCUGACAGGCGAGCGCCGCGCGGAGGAGGUCGGCGGGGGUCGGGAGGAGGAUGAAGACCUCCUGUAGGAUGUCGUCGCCGAGGACGGCGAUGGUGGCGGCCGCCGGAGCCAUGUGGCGCAGGACGGAGUGACGCACCUGGGCGGCGUUUCAUUGUGACCUAAUGUGUCGAGCAAUCGCGCAGAGGAGAGUGAGAGAGCAGAUGGCCCGGCCCAAUUCGGCAUUCAUUUUUGGGAAGCUGCUACCCCAGUUUUUUCUGGUUGUAGGAGGUUCUGGAAGGGUUAUAGUUUCGUUUUUCUCCGGGGGUUUCAUUUUUGUCUUUAAAUAAAAAUCAUUUGCGAAAAAUUCACAUUACGUUAAAAAUCCAUAUUUUCUAAAAGUUCUAAAUUUACAAAAAAAACCAGGAUGUUAGAAAAAUGUUCACAAAAGUUUAAAAUAUGUUCACGUUUUUUUUAAAUGUUCAAGUUAUUUAAAGUAUUCUCACAAACGUUUUAUUUUCUUUCAAAAAAUUCAACAAUUUUCACAUUUUAAAAGGGUUCAAUUCAUGAAAUAAUUUAUUGUGUUCUCUGGAAAAUCAAUGAAAACAAAAAAAAAAGAAACAUAAUUGGGCAAAAAAUUCACUUGCUUCACGUGAGUUGUUGCAGUACCUAGUGCGGUAAUGGGUCGGGCCCCUCACGGCACCCCUGUGCACACCUCUCCUAUCUGACGGAAAAGAGUGUCAAAUAGGAGGUCGCUCGAACCCUCGACAUAUGCCCAGCCUAAAAACCCAACCCAAGGGACCUUCCCAAACCUCUCCCAUUUGUUUGGAUUGUCUGGACCGUCCCAACCCAGCCCAUAUGUCAGGCGGAUACGAUGCCGUCUAGACAUGUCCACCACAUAGGACCCGGCAAACCGACAUCACUCCACUCCCACCAAAUCAACCUGCAACUUGUUCUUCUCCUCAUUUCUAUUGUCCAGCCUGCGCCCUCCCCAUCAUGCGCCACCUGGAGCCCUGCCACGCCCUUGAACUUGUUCGCCAUCCUGGACCCUACCCCUACUUGGAGCACCACCCCCGAGCACAGUCGUGGCACCAGACGCCACCCCGGUACGUCCUAGUUCUCAUGGAUGUUGCCACAGUUGGGGAACGUAGUACAAAAUAAAAAAAAUCUACCGCAUGUACUUACACACCCAGGAACACUAUAAAGAUGCUAGAGGUAGAUCAUAUCGUUAUCAACAAACGUGGCGGAGAAGGGAUGUUGGUGUAGACUUGUAGAUUCCCACAGCUAGGUUCAAAUAUCCUAGCCAUGGGAAUUUCUCCCAUUCAAGGAUCGAAGCUACGACCCCUCUUCCGAUAUCCAUGCCAAGGAAUCACCGAUCUAGCAUGGCUCGUUGUCCAGGAUGAAGACAUGCUAGAGACUAGGGGAUGGAGCAGCCUUGAGGCGAUGGUGGAAACUUGCAGAGAUAGAGAUGGAGAGGGUGCCGCCAGGAAUUCAGAUAGAAUUGAGGGUUUGCCCCCUCCGCUAUAUAUAUAGGCGCAUGGGCGGAAGGACUCCCUCCCUAGGGUCGGCAGCACCAGGGAGGGAUGUGCCCGAAACCCUAGCCAUCGCCCCCUUUGCCUUGGCCCCCAAGGCAUGUGGGAUGCGCCACACUAAUGGCCCCCUUGAUGACCCAAAAAUAUAAGUGAUCAAUCAUAGCCUUUUCGAUAAGUAAGAGUGUCAAACCCAACAAGGAGUAGAAGGAAUUGACAAUUAGUUUUCAGUAAAGUUUCAUUGUAAAUGUUGUGAAGAUAAUUUGAUAGGUUAUUGAUAGCAAGAUAAUUCGUAACAACAUAAAUCUCUACUCCUAAUGUCUCAGUUGGUAGUCUUCAUUCCCGGUUAAAUUUUGUCCCACCAAUGCUGGGUUUUUUUCGUCCUCCCUCCCACCUCCCACGUUCCAGCGAUCCCGCCUGGACCCGUGAACCAACAAAAAAAAUAGUUAUGUACCCACGAUUUCCAGCGGCAAACCUCCGGCCGAUCGAGAAAAAGCGGUGUGAAAAAAUCUACGAAAAUAAACCUACGAAAAUUAACCGGACGCUCGCAUCUACCAGCGAUUCCUCGUGCCCCUCGAUCCCCUCAAGACACAGGGCUCCUCUCCCGAAGAGUGAAGUCUAAAAUAAACCUUGAGGUUGUAGAGCUCGACGUAAACGAACCCUCACUUCUAAAUCCCUGAAAUUGGUACCCUGUAUGGUUAUCUUUUCUGAUAUAUCGGAGGUUUUGUGUGCAGAGGCCGCCAGGUUGAAGUUGGAUGUUGCUUUUGUAGUUCCCAGUGAAGGAUGAUGCUGGGUCAUUUACAUAUCCCAGUCAAUCCAAACCCUGGAUGAGUAAAAUCCUGUUUGUUGUAAUAAAAAGGCGUGAUUCCAGCCGGGAUUGAUUCUACUCUCACUUACAACAUGGGCCCACCUGUUAUAUGCAUCACCCUCCCCAAUCAAUUUGAACUCGCCUCCAGAUGAGUGUAUCGGACGGGGCCAGGUCGGCCAUCGACGCCAUCCUAGACGAGCUCCUGGGCGUGUCCAAGCAUGAACGGCGUGCGUGGAUGAUGGCGCGCUAUCCCGACCAGAGGAGCCCCCGCCGGCAAGCGAUUGCUGCUCGUCGGGGCUAGGCUGCAGGAAAGGUGGCGUCAACGGGGCGAGGAUGCCGCCAUGGAUGCCACCAACAGCGCAUGAACAUGAAGAAGUAUAUUAACGGGAAGACUGGCGGCUUGGCCUCCGCGGCGAGCACCGCCGCCGUGUCCAUCAACGGAGUGUUGGCUCUGUCGAGAUUAACAGCGAAGUACACCUAGAUUACUAUGAGACAAGGCAAGAAAAAUAUCACAAGGUUCUGUUGGAAUCCAUCGGUAUCCGGCAUCUCGCGUGUGUGUACCCAGAAGAGAUAAUCUAAUCCAUCAAGCCAGAGUCACUGACUCACGUACUAGCUCGUGCUUGUACAGGACUAUAUCAAACCAGCCCUGUACGCAUGUGCCUUCCGGCAACACUUCAAUGCUAAAUUGAUGCUCGUUGAUACAGAAGAAGUUCAGGUGGCUCUGGUCGUCUUCGCCUUUGCCGUGCGUGCCCACGCCUGGAGAUUUGUCGUCGCGGACGGCGGCGAGCCUCCGAGACACAGCGUCGACGAAGCCAAGGGAGAUGUUGAGCUUGGUCCGGUGAUCCCUAAUGGCGUCCUUCAUCCUCUUGAUGACGAACAACUCUGCGCCGUUGGCGUGCUGGGCUCCUAGCUCCUCACCGGCCACGGCUGCCAUGGCCAUCAUGGCCUGCGUGCUCACCGGAUAGCAGCAGGCACUCCCGGGAUGCAUCUUCAAUCAGGAUUGUGUAGCGAGGAAGAUGGCUAUGAUGUUUUGACCCGCGUGACAUGAGACAAGCGAGUUUCGGGUAGGAUUGUGCUUUUCCCAGUCUGCUAAACAUAUGUGGGGUUAGGAUAGACCGGGAUCGAAGAGGUUGGGUACCGAUUUUAGGGAUUUGGAGGUGAGGGUUCAUCUACAUCGACCCCUACAAUCUCAGGGUUUAUUUUAGACUUCACUCUCUCCCGAACGAGGUCCGAUCCGCUCCUCCCCCUCUCCCGAGGAUACGCAGCCGCCGCCUUCGCCGGAUUCGCCGCCGUCGAUCUGCUGAUCCGGGCAGCGCAGCCGCCGCCGAUCUGCCUAUCCAGGCAGACGCGGCCGUCAUGGAUCACGAGAACACCGCGCCUCGAAUACGUUGCCCAUCACCACCACGAUGGCACCUCGCUGCUGCCGCUCAGCAUGGAUGGCCGCCCCAAGACAUGGAUAAGCUCUCGUGAUCCCCACCCCACCCCUCUCAUCCACUGAAUCCAUAUCCUCCUUCCCGUCUUGAUCCCGCCCAUGAUCUGAUCAGGAAGCUGCCCACGGUCCGAUCCCCUGGUUUUUUAUCCAGUUAUCCACCUCUCGUCUCUCGUCUAGCAACCCCCAUCUUCGGUGUGGCGACGUUGCUGACGUCGCCGCGACCUCCCGCAAUUAUAGGCUCGGCCUUCCUCGACUCCAUGCGCGGCUGACGAGGUGGUCUUCGUGCAGAGGUGGUAUGCUCGUGCUCUCCUGGUCCUCCCGAAACGACGAGGGGUAGUGCCGGUCGUGGCUCAGCAGGAUAGCAUAAGCUUGCCCUUGUUCUUUUGUGUUUGAAUCAGAUUUGUUGGUUCUCAGUUUUACAUGCACCUAUCAAUCUUUCUUCUGUAUGCAGGUUACACACCUGAUGAUGUUUACGGCGAGGCGCAGGAACAAGCAGAGGCCGAGGAAGUGCGGGCACACGCGAGGAAGGUUCAGCGGGCUGCAGAAGUCGGGCCACGCCCGGAGCGCCGUGCCAAUGCAUGUGUGCGUGGUUGGUGGGUUGGCCAAGAUCUGCAUUCUGCGACUUCGUCUUCACCAUGGACACAAGCAAGGACUGAUUCGUGGGUCUUGGUAGCAGUGCCGAGCAUCGGCGGAUCGAAGAGGUCGAGGUCGCGGUUGAUCGACCAGGACGAGACAUGCAUCUUGGAGCUAGCGCAGAGGGGGAAAGAAGCAGGUUGGUCUGGCCUGGCCUCGCAAAUGAAUUGGUAUGUAGUCUAGUUCUUCCCAUGAAGGUCACAUGCCUAACUUCGUGCUAGACAUUGCUAACUCAGCCACUUGAUGUUAAACUCUGUAUGCGUAACUAGACCUAGCUAACUCCAAGAUUCGAUGUGUUAAAUUAAAGUACCAAUCAGGCAUGUUCACCACUUUGUACGUGUGUGCUCUUGCAUUGCUUACUAUAUCUUGUUGUAUAUGAUGGUCCAUUGUCAGCUAUACAACUUUUGAAUUCUGUCAAGUUCAGUUCAGAUUUGAUUUUUUUUCACCUCUUUUUGCAUGGACAAUGUGUCUGGUGUUUAAAUGAUGGCUACUUGAAAUUCAUAGGCAUUGUGAGGUUAGAAAGGAUUCCAUUUUGACUAUUUUUUUCACUUUGGUUCAAAGUUGUUAGCUGCUACACCUACACGUGGAAAACGUACACUUGGCAUUCUAAAAUUAAGCAGCAACCUUUAUUGCCGGUCAUUUAUAAGUUCAGUGACAAGACAACUGCUGACACAGAGUUCUACCUCUCUGACUGAAACAGGAACUAUGAAGAGUAAUAUAGUAGAAACUAUAGUCAUAGAAACUAAAUUAGAAAUUUACAAGGCAGUGGAACCAGUUCAUAUUUUGUGAGCAACCAAAGUCUCAAGCAGCCUAAAUUCGUAAACUUUUAAUGAACUGGCUUAUGAAAAUUUGAUGGUUUUGUCAAUAGUACAGUAGUACUGGAUAUUCUGCUGUUUCUUGACCUGAUUUUACUACUACGACAUGCAGAAACCUUGAUGCAAAAGGAAACUUCCUGAAGAAGAUAUUGAAAAUCCAACAUCACAGCAUAUAGGAGACUACUUAUUUUGGUCAUGCUGAUCGAUUGGCCUAUGAAACUUCUGCGACUUCAUAUUCACCAUGGACACAAGCAAGGACUGAUUCGUGGGUCUUGGUAGCGGUGCCGAGCAUCAGUGGAUCGAAGUGGUCGAGGUCGCGGUUAAUCGACCAGGACGAGACAUGCAUCUUGGAGCUAGCGCAGAGGGGGAAAGAAGCAGGUUGGUCUGGCCCGGCCUCGCAAAUGAAUUGGUAUGUCCAGUUCUUCCCAUGAAGGUCACAUGCCUAACUUCGUGCUACACAUUGCUAACUCAGCCACUUGAUGUUAAACUCUGUAUGCGUAACUAGACCUUGCUAACUCCAAGAUUCGAUGUGUUAAAUUAAAGUACCAAUCAGGCAUGUUCACCACUUUGGACGCAAAAACAAAGUGUAUGAGCAUGCAAUGUAUAAUUGGUGAGAUUAGGGGAAUGUACUGACAAGUGAUGAGCAUAUUUUCUUGUGUGUCGUCCUCGAUGUUGCUUCCUUGGCUCACACAGUAGUUCUCUUAAUACGUACCGUACUCGAUUUGAUUGGCAGGCUUCAGGUAAUUCAUGUUCGUGUGGUAAGAAUCGAUUGUACCACUUUGUUGAUGCAAUAACAUCAAUGGACCUGUACUGCUACGAGUUACAUCAUGAACUAUGUGCUACUUUAUUAAUUGUAGUUUCUUUGUUCAGUUAGUUCUCUGAAACAAAACCACUUCUCUCGAUGUAUAUGUUUCUUGGCAAAAUUUGUUGUAAUACUAAUCUUCCAGAGAUUGUUGUAAGAAAUAACUAUAUUUAGUAUCUUACCUCAUCAGUGGGUUAAUUAUAUAGAAUAACUAAUAAGGAGAUUUCUUAGCAGUAUUGUAUAUGUUUGGAGCAGUGAGACAAUUUUAUCGUAUAUGACUUUCUUUCACUUGCCUUUCCUGAUUUCGUUUUCCCCUCCAUUUAUUUCAGGUUCCAAAGUUUGACCGUAGCUAGCUUGAUUUGGAGACAUUUCAUGUUAGGACUUAAACUUUGGUACCUUUGUUACUUGGUAUUCCCCUGUCAGCGUUCAGGUAUACACUAUCUACCAUAUUGUUUAAUCUGGGGUUUACUACGGUGCCAAGUGUACUAUAUUGCUAGAUUCAACUUUAACCUAUGAGUUGCUCUGUAUCUAUUUCAGCAUAAAUGAUUCAACUUUAACCUAUUUAAUUAGUGAUCUUACUUCUGUUGCUUCUUGGUGAAUAUGAAAUAUAUGGCGUUUUCAUGGAAGCAGGAGUCGGGUAGUUGUGGAGUGGGUCGUGGGAGAGACCGUCGGCGAGAGCGGGCUGGAUGGGAAGGUGAUGCCUGCGAUGGCGAACAUGCCGGCGAGCAGGGAAGGGUUGACCAUGGCCAUUGCGCAGCUGAAGAAGUCGAAGCCUGGGGCGAGGUUGGCCACCGUGGCCGAUGUGAAAGCUGACGGACCUAAAGGCUGGUGACAGGUUCACCGCCAUCACAAUCUCUGAACUUGGUGGAGACGCGGAAGGAGAGCGGUGGCGCCGUGAAGACCUCAACGUUUGCUGCCGCGGCCAUGACCAUGAUCAUGACCAUUGUGUUGGUAAUAAAUAUACUAAUUGUAUACAUAUCCCCCAGCUUAGGAAACAUUAGAUAAAUAUCCAACUUAUUAUUGAAAAAGCUUGAUUCAAAAUAAAUGGAACCUUUCCUAUAUACAAUGAGCUUCGGAAACAUUAGAUAAAUAUCCAACUUAUUAUUGAAAACUCUUGAUUCAAGAUAAAUGGAACCUUUCCUAUAUACAGUGACCUUAUUAUUGAAGGUUGCAUCGAUUGUGCUAUUAUUGCUGAAAUAAGAGGCUUAUGAAUUUGUCAAUCUUUGUGUACCUUGUAAUAGUGACACGUUGUUGCGUGAAGUUGAGUGAUACUCCCUCCGUAAAGAGUGUUUAGGGAGUACUAAUACUAUUUAAAAAUGGACGAUCUAUAUCCAGUCAUAAGUUCUUGGGUGGCGAAUGAUUUGGCUGGUUAAGGAGAUAGGAAGAUUGCCGAGAAAAGUGGAAGAGAAUUUAUAUUCGUCGUUGCAUGAUGAAAAUCAGAUGUAACCAUGCUUAACCCGUAUUUCUAAAUUAGGAGAAUAAUUUGAUUGUUGUGUUCAUAUUUUUAUUAUUCUGUGGCAACGUAUGGGUAUUCGGCUUUAGCCCGUAGCAACACACGGGCAUUUUUACUAGUAUUAACUAAAGCAAUAGAGUGCAACAAGUGACUCAAUCCUUAUGUAUGCAGGACAAGACGGUUGUGUUUUUAUAAUAGUUAAAACGCUCUUGAGGGCACACAGAAAUUUCGUAAGUUACUUUCACCAUGAUUCAUUAAGCUAUCAUUUAUUGAUUUGACAAGUGUUGUGUGGGUGGACCGGAGGUAAGGUUCUUACUUCAACAAAUGCCUACCUAUGAUUGUACCCUCCAAUCAAGCAUCCGCCAAUCUCCAUACACAACAUGUCUCAAAAUUUCACAAGAGAAGAGAAAAGGCACUAACACCAAUUGAUAGAACAAAUGAUCCGGCUUCACCUUAUAAAGGCACUCACUGGCAUAGGCCAAGUUAGCUCUUCAGCUUCAGCUUCAGCUUUUUCCCUGUGAAUGACCCUGUAGUUUGGAUGCAUAGUAAGGCUGCCAAACAGGCAUUUGCAUCAGAUCAACCACACUCAAAAUCUGAACCAGAACUGAAGUCGCCCAAUAUAUGCAAACAUGGUAGAAAGACAAGUAGUACUCUAUAACGUAACUCAGAAAUCUCAUUGCAUUUUUACCUACAAAACCUUCAACCCAGAUUAAGUGAAUAAAUAAACCUGGAACAUGGUACUGCUGUCUCCAUCCAUGGCGCAACUCAGAGAAGCGAAAAAUAAAUAAAAACGCACCAACACCAAACGACAGAACAAUUAUCAAACUUCACCAUAAUAACAACAUUUGAUGACAUUAGGCCAAGUUCUUCAGUCUUCAGUUUCUUCAUUGAGCAUGGAUCGGAAGAAAAGUAAGACUAUCCAGCAUUCGCGCAUCAGUAUCAGAGGAGCCAGACUCCAAACCCCAGCCAGAAAUUGACACGAUAUAUAAUGAUCAUACAAGCAACAUAAAAGCUCCGGCAUAACAUUCACAAAAGCAUGCUAAAUACUAUAUUCCGAAAUUAUAAUCUCAGGCAAUAGAGUGACCAUACACAUAAUGGUGGCAGAACAUAACACACCAACUAAGACUGCAAGCACAACUAAUUACAUGAUAUGAAGCUAAAACUGUAAGCACAACUAGAGCAAGUUUGCGGCUAUCAUGUCUCAAGAAUUCAUAUGGAUGAUCAAAUGACAUCCUUUUUCCAACAUCAGCUCUGCCACAGAAUCUAAUCACCAUAAGCUGAAUGUAGCUUCACAUUCCUGCAGAAAAUUC
rnacentral:lncRNA from 1 species